GAUGAACGCUGGCGGCGUGCCUAAUACAUGCAAGUCGAGCGAACAGACGAGGAGCUUGCUCCUCUGACGUUAGCGGCGGACGGGUGAGUAACACGUGGAUAACCUACCUAUAAGACUGGGAUAACUUCGGGAAACCGGAUCUAAUACCGGAUAAUAUAUUGAACCGCAUGGUUCAAUAGUGAAAGACGGUUUUGCUGUCACUUAUAGAUGGAUCCGCGCCGCAUUAGCUAGUUGGUAAGGUAACGGCUUACCAAGGCAACGAUGCGUAGCCGACCUGAGAGGGUGAUCGGCCACACUGGAACUGAGACACGGUCCAGACUCCUACGGGAGGCAGCAGUAGGGAAUCUUCCGCAAUGGGCGAAAGCCUGACGGAGCAACGCCGCGUGAGUGAUGAAGGUCUUCGGAUCGUAAAGCUCUGUUAUUGGGGAAGAACAAAUGUGUAAGUAACUAUGCACGUCUUGACGGUACCUAAUCAGAAAGCCACGGCUAACUACGUG
rnacentral:rRNA from 1 species